UACAGGGUGUGCAAACGUUGCUCGGAAUUAUUGGGCGUAAAGCGCGCGUAGGCGGCUACUUAAGUCGGAUGUGAAAGCCCUUGGCUCAACUGAGGAAGUGCACCCGAAACUGAGUGGCUAGAGUACGAAAGAGGGUCGCGGAAUUCCCGGUGUAGAGGUGAAAUUCGUAGAUAUCGGGAGGAACACCGGUGGCGAAGGCAGGUCUCUGGGCCGAUACUGACGCUGAGGAGCGAAAGCGUGGGGAGCGAACAGG
rnacentral:rRNA from 1 species